rnacentral:rRNA from 1 species
CGGGGCUAAAUGGUAUACCGAAGCUUGGGCUGCAUCGUAAGAUGCGGGGUAGGGGAGCGUUGUGUGCGGGGUGAAGCAUGAGCGUAAGCGCGUGUGGACUGCACAGAAGUGAGAAUGCCGGAAUGAGUAGCGAGAAUUAUGUGAGAAUCAUAAUGGCCGAAAGCCUAAGGAUUUUGGAGGAAGGUUCGUCCGCUCCAAGUUAGCCGGGAGCUAAGGUGAGGCCGAAAGGCGUAGCCGAUGCACAUACGGUAGAAAUUCCGUAGCCACCGAAAGAUUUAAGCAGAGGGACACAGGUGAAGUGAGUGACCCGGGCGUUGGUGCCCCGGGCGUAAGGGACUGAAAACAAGUAAGGAAGUCACUCAUGGAACCUGGCGAGAAAAGCUCUGUGUAUAUUUAAGGUGCCCGUACCGCAAACCGACACAGGUAGGUAGGAAGAGAAUUCUAAGGCCAACGGGAGAAUGGUUGUUAAGGAACUCGGCAAGUUGACCCCGUAACUCGGAAGAAGGGUGCUCGCUUUAAGUGAGCCGCAGAGAAUAGGUCCAGGCGACUGUUUAGCAAAAACACAGGUCUAUGCUAAAUCGAAAGAUGACGUAUAUGGGCUGACGCCUGCCCGGUGCUGGAAGGUUAAGAGGAGAUGUGAGAGCAUUGAAUUGAAGCCCCAGUAAACGGCGGCCGUAACAAUAACGGUCCUAAGGUAGCGAAAUUCCUUGUCAGGUAAGUUCUGACCCGCACGAAUGGCGUAACGAUCUGGACACUGUCUCAACAGCCAACCCGGCGAAAUUGUAGUACCGGUGAAGAUGCCGGUUACCCGCGACAAGACGGAAAGACCCCAUGGAGCUUUACUGUAGCCUGAUAUUGGAUUUCGGUAUUUCAUGUACAGGAUAGGUGGGAGGCUUUGAAGCAUGGACGCCAGUUCACGUGGAGCCACCGUUGGGAUACCACUCUUGGAAUACUGGAAUUCUAACCUGCGGCCAUGAAUCUGGCUGGGGGACAUCGUCAGGUGGGCAGUUUGACUGGGGCGGUCGCCUCCAAAAGAGUAACGGAGGCGUUCAAAGGUCAGCUCAGCACGGACGGAAACCGUGCAUUAGAGUGCAAACGCAAAAGCUGGCCUAACUGCGAGAGCGACGGUUCGAGCAGUAACGAAAGUUGGAGUUAGUGAUCCGGUGGUAUGUGAGUGGAAAUGCCAUCGCUCAACGGAUAAAAGCUACCCUGGGGAUAACAGGCUGAUCUCCCCCAAGAGUCCACAUCGUCGGGGAGGUUUGGCACCUCGAUGUCGGCUCAUCGCAUCCUGGGGCUGUAUUCGGUCCCAAGGGUUUGGCUGUUCGCCAAUUAAAGCGGUACGCGAGCUGGGUUCAGAACGUCGUGAGACAGUUCGGUCCCUAUCUGUCGUGGGCGCAGGAUAUUUGAGAGGAGCUUUCCCUAGUACGAGAGGACCGGGAUGGACGCACCUCUGGUGCACCAGUUGUCACGCCAGUGGCACAGCUGGGCAGCUAUGUGCGGAAGGGAUAAACGCUGAAGGCAUCUAAGCGUGAAGCCCCCCUCGAGAUAAGAUAUCCCACUGAGUUAAU